GAGCUCAUUCCUGACCCACCAGAAAGUCAGAUGUUCUCUUUCUUUCCUCUGGGAGUGGGCACAGCGCUCUGCCCGGUCAAUGGCAGCCAACUCAGCUUUCAACAACAGAUGUUUUGAGGGUUGUUUUCUGCUUCUUGGAGGAGCUGUCUCUUCCCUGAGCAUCUUGAAGGUUUUUUUGGCCUCUAAACACUAUAAAGGAGGAAAAAUACCCCAAAAAGUAGAAAGAAACAGAAAUAAG